GGUGAAAUGUGGCACAUAAAUUCUCGUGUGCUGCACAGAAUGCUUUUUAAAAUGCCCACAGAUUUGGCUAUUUAUGAACAGAAGAUUUGCACCUCUUUCUUUACUCUUUCAAUUCUAAAAUUGUAGCAGGCCAAAGUAAUUACAAUCUCCCAUAUGUUUUCUGAAAAGGUAUCCAGGAAUCUCCUGCUAAAAUCUUAACAGAUUGACUAGGUAGCAGAAAAACACUAGCCCAGCAGGUGAAACUGCAUGUUUAGGGAGGUCAGAACAGAGCUCUCUGCUAGGGGACUCAUAAGCUCUAGGCUCUGCUCAGGAAAUAACCCUGCAGGAGAAAAACAGCAGAGCGUGGAUGAAAUGUGGGUCAGGGAGCUGAAAGAGGCACAUGGGCUGCUUGGUUAACUAAUGACAGUAAAAGCACUGGCUGCACAUGUUACAUUUCGAUGUUUCCCAGCAUACCAUAAAGUGCUGCCCUGAAGACACUAUAGCAUAUAACAUUGCUUUAUCCCAGGACUUGUGAUCCAUUAGGAAUAUAAUUAGGACAAUGCAGCCAUAGAAACAGAUCCUGUCACCUCUGUCACAAAACCGGGGCUGUUAACAACCAGCUGCUACCAAAAUAAUGAUCACUUUAAGAAUCUCACAGUUUCCCUAGCUUCCAAUUCAGAGGAUGUGGGGGUCGGGUAGGAGGAGAAGAGGAGGAGGAGUGUAGAAAUAACAUGUUAAUAACCAGAUAUAGAUAAUUGCAGAGAUGUUGAAGCUAAUGAUAGAAUUCAGAAAUUCACGAAAACCAAGGACAGCCUCCUUCAUAGAAUCUCUCCGAAUGCAUUCACAUGCACCGGUAUAAACAGUGAUCAAAUAUAUUCUAACAGCUUGGAAAAUUGCACAGAAUCUUGGGUAACAGAAUUUUGAUAAGACUUAGAUUCUGGAAAUAAAAAGGAGUAGAGGGAAAAUUAAUUUUCAUGUGAACAUUACUUUAAAUCAAC
rnacentral:lncRNA from 1 species